rnacentral:tRNA from 1 species
GGGCGCUUAGCUCAGAUGGUAGAGCAGCUGACUCUUAAUCAGCGGGUCAUAGGUUCGAUUCCUAUAGCGCCCACCA